AAUAGGAGGAGCGGAAGACGAACAUAGCUGUAGAAGAAGGCUCGACGCCGGCGGCCAGAGGGCUCACCAACGUCGAGAUGUGGCGGCUGCAAGUGUACCUCGAUUCUCGGGUCCGAGAGCUUUCGAGCUUUAGGGCGAACUCUUGUUUUUUCUUCUACCAUAACUGUUACUUUGUUUUAAGAAAAUAAUUGGGCACAUAAUUGCAUUUGGUUCAGAUUAAAACACAUUUUUUUAUUUGUGGUAGUAUAGUCGAUCUAUCAAGAAAGCCUGUGGUUUGAAUCUUAGGUUUUCAAGAAAGGGAGUAGAUGCGAAUGCUUGGGGAACAUUCUUAUUCCAUUAAUGUGGUUUUUCUUCCAAGUAUCAAUUAAAUGCUUAUUUUCCAUAUAUAUGUUUGUCAGUUUUCCUUUUUUCGUUCCAUCUUGUUUCCCUUUUAACACAUCUUCGUGACUACAUCUAUAAGUUUACGCAAAUCGAUUAUUUCCAAGUUAUCAUACUAAAAGCUCGCUAGAAAUCGCUAAGUGAAGUCAUAAAACCAUUCUCUGUUGAAGAAAACAUUAAUCCAUAUUGCUCUUCGUUCAUGGUGAUUGUACCAUUGCUAAGUUCAACAUUGAAGCUAGUCAUUUCGUUGGCAGCUAAACCAGUGGCCUCUGUAUCUGCCUUACUAUUCUACGGUGGUCUUCUUCCGCGGAAUCUUCAAUUGGAAAGAUUAACCGGCCGAGAAUUUUCAAUUGAUGGCAAUGACCACCUUGUCCGGUUUAUCGUUUCUUUCCUAAAUUGUGUAUGUUAGUUUUCUUUUCUUCUAUUAGAUUCUUCAUUUAGCUCUCUUUUGUAAAAAUAUAUUCAUCAAUGAUUUCAAUUAUCAAGAGAGCCAGACAGAUUAUCA